GAUGAAGAACGUAGCGAAAUGCGAUAAGUAAUGUGAAUUGCAGAAUUCAGUGAAUCAUCGAAUCUUUGAACGCACAUUGCGCCCGCCAGUAUUCUGGCGGGCAUGCCUGUUCGAGCGUCAUUACAACCCUCAGGCCCCCGGGCCUGGCGUUGGGGAUCGGCGGAAGCCCCCUGCGGGCACAACGCCGUCCCCCAAAUACAGUGGCGGUCCCGCCGCAGCUUCCAUCGCGUAGUAGCUAACACCUCGCAACUGGAGAGCGGCGCGGCCACGCCGUAAAACACCCAACUUCUGAAUGUUGACCUCGAAUCAGGUAGGAAUACCCGCUGAACUUAAGCAUAUCAAUAAGCGAGGA
rnacentral:misc_RNA from 1 species